UGUUCACGUACAAAGUGAACCCUUUUAACAGGUGGGAUGUUCCUAUUUGUCUAAACUCUUUCACAUAGUCUGAGUCAGGGCGGGUGUGAUAUACAUUCAUAAAAUUAAAAUGUUCUUCUUUCCAAUAGUUUGACGAUUUAAACAUUUCAGGCCUUUAACAAACACAGCUGAUGUCAAAUGAAUUGUUCGAUGAUACACCAUUAAACCUGUUACAGCCCUUGGAUGGUGUAAACUUCCAAAAAAAACAUGUAUUGUGUAAUGGUGUAUGGCAUAUGGUGCUAUGGUAGAAGGUGUAUGGUGCUAUGAUGUAUGGUGUAAGGGGGUUGGUGUAUAACUAUUGGUGUAACGUGCAAUCGGGAAUGGUGUGAAUGAAUGGUGUACGACAUUUAAAACUAUGCAAAAUAUUGAGAAAAACUGAUUUUUAAUUUUAUACAUUAAUUUACAAUACUGUGAUCAAAAUUCGUUUUUUUAAAUAAAUAAAUAAUUUUGUAGUCGCA